rnacentral:rRNA from 1 species
ACCAGACUCCUACGGGAGGCAGCAGUGGGGAAUAUUGCACAAUGGGGGAAACCCUGAUGCAGCGGCGCCGCGUGAAGGACGAAGUAUUUCGGUACGUAAACUUCUCUCAGCAGGGAAGAAAAUGACGGUACCUGACCAAGAAGCCCCGGCUAACUACGUGCCAGCAGCCGCGGUAAUACGUAGGGGGCAAGCGUUAUCCGGAUUUACUGGGUGUAAAGGGAGCGUAGACGGCCAUGCAAGUCUGAUGUGAAAACCCGGGGCUCAACCCCGGGACUGCAUUGGAAACUGUGUUGCUGGAGUGCUGGAGAGGCAAGCGGAAUUCCUAGUGUAGCGGUGAAAUGCGUAGAUAUUAGGAAGAACACCAGUGGCGAAGGCGGCUUGCUGGACAGUAACUGACGUUGAGGCUCGAAAGCGUGGGGAGCAAACAGGAUUAGAUACCCGCGUAAC